GCCAGUGUGGCGUAGUGGUUAGAGCAUAGGAUUAGUACUCUGGAGAUCAGGGUUCAAUUCCCCGUUUGGCC